rnacentral:misc_RNA from 1 species
CUGGAGGGAAUGUCAUUACAGAAGUGGGUGUGCAUCACUGUUUUAUGUCCUACAUGUUCAAAUCCCUUGCUUUAUUGCAGAACCACUUUAUUGUUCAUAAGUAUGAUAAAUAAACAUGUAUUCCUGGUGUUAACCUUCCAAAAUUGGUUAAUAUGGCAUAUCCAAGAGGAACACUGCCAUGUAGAGAGCUCCUAAUUCUACACAGGCA